rnacentral:rRNA from 1 species
GUACCUGGAGGAAGAGAAAGAAAAAUCGAUUUCCUGAGUAGCGGCGAGCGAAACGGAAAGAGCCCAAACCAAGAAGCUUGCUUCUUGGGGUUGUAGGACACUCUAUACGGAGUUACAAAAGAAAGUUAUAAAUGAAGCGGUCUGGAAAGGCCCGCCAAAGACGGUAACAGCCCGGUAGUUGAAAUGGCUUUCCCUCCAGAGUGGAUCCUGAGUACGGCGGAACACGUGAAAUUCCGUCGGAAUCCGGGAGGACCAUCUCCCAAGGCUAAAUACUCCCUAGUGACCGAUAGUGAACCAGUACCGUGAGGGAAAGGUGAAAAGCACCCCGGAAGGGGAGUGAAACAGUUCCUGAAACCGUGUGCCUACAAGUAGUUAGAGCCCGUUAAUGGGUGAUAGCGUGCCUUUUGUAGAAUGAACCGGCGAGUUACGAUUUGUUGCAAGGUUAAGCGGAAAAAGCGGAGCCGUAGCGAAAGCGAGUCUGAAUAGGGCGCAUAAGUAACAGGUCGUAGACCCGAAACCAGGUGAUCUACCCAUGUCCAGGAUGAAGGUAAGGUAAUACUUACUGGAGGUCCGAACCCACGCACGUUGAAAAGUGCGGGGAUGAGGUGUGGGUAGCGGAGAAAUUCCAAUCGAACUUGGAGAUAGCUGGUUCUCUCCGAAAUAGCUUUAGGGCUAGCCUCGAGGUAAAGAGUCAUGGAGGUAGAGCACUGUUUGGACUAGGGGCCCUUCUCGGGUUACCGAAUUCAGAUAAACUCCGAAUGCCAUGUACUUAUACUCGGGAGUCAGACUGCGAGUGAUAAGAUCCGUAGUCGAAAGGGAAACAGCCCAGACCACCAGUUAAGGUCCCCAAAUAUAUGUUAAGUGGAAAAGGAUGUGGGGUUGCUUAGACAACCAGGAUGUUGGCUUAGAAGCAGCCACCAUUGAAAGAGUGCGUAAUAGCUCACUGGUCGAGUGACCCCGCGCCGAAAAUGUACCGGGGCUAAACAUAUUACCGAAACUGUGGAUGAACCUCUUUAGAGGUUCGUGGUAGGAGAGCGUUCUAAGGGCGGUGAAGUCAGACCGGAAGGACUGGUGGAGCGCUUAGAAGUGAGAAUGCCGGUAUGAGUAGCGAAAGAAGGGUGAGAAUCCCUUCCACCGAAUAUCUAAGGUUUCCUGAGGAAGGCUCGUCCGCUCAGGGUUAGUCGGGACCUAAGCCGAGGCCGAUAGGCGUAGGCGAUGGACAACAGGUAGAGAUUCCUGUACCAGUGCUAAUUGUUUAACCGAUGGGGUGACACAGAAGGAUAGGGAAUCGCACGAAUGGAAAUGUGCGUCCAAGCAGUGAGUGUGAG